AGCACCCCUGCCUCCCGUGUACCUGGUAAAUCCCAGUAAGAGCGUGAAAAGCCACUGAGGGCUCCAGGACUCCUCCUUCACCCCGUCUGCUCGGGUCAUAGGGAAACCUGCCCUGUGUCAUUCCCGCCAUUACACCAGGCUUCCCUUUCUACCAAGGACGUAGGGCUGCUGACUGUCAGGGGUUGGCUCUGCAGUGGUGGAGAUGAGCAGCCUUAGCCCACAGGAAGCGUGACUGGCGCUCCCCAGGACAGAAGCGCUCUGGGAGUUAGAACCCUGAGUUCCGAAGGAGUGAUCACCCCCGUGGCAGCGUAUGGACUGGUUUACCUUUGCCACAGAAGCAUUUUGUCACUGCUGUCAAGCUGCCUUUCCCAAGCGCUCAUCGCAGUCCCGAGCAGAGGGGGGCGGUCUCCGAACUAAGUGUUUGGAGGGCAGGAUUCGUGAAAAUUCGAAAUACCAGCGUUCCACGCGAUGGACUCCCAGUCGGGAGCUGUCCAGAGGGGAAGGAAACCCCACGAAGGACCACUCUCUCCAUGCCCCCCCACCCGGAAAAUGGCCAACUGGGCCUGCUCGUGAAUGCUGAUCAAUUCUAUGGAGAGCCAGUGUUCAAAAUGCGCCAUUUUGUUUCUGGCUGAUUGCUCUAAAGCAAGCAGAUGCUUCCCUGACAAGGACAGCUCAGGAGUCGGGUCCCGCUUCAGGAGGCCAUGAAGAGGACAGCGGGCAGGCAUGUCGCCAGCAGCUUUCCCAGGGAUGUUCUCACUUCCACUUAGAUGCAUUUUGUAUCCACGUCACGUGUCUGUUCUUCCUUCCUUUAUUAAGAGACAAGGCGGAAAGCAGCACUUAACUUCUCGGGGGUUAAUCAGUUCCUGCUGUGUAUUUCUCCACAUGAGGGCAUAACUUCCAUUUAUAACAUCAUUAUUGAUUACUGCGAAAUAAUUACAGGCUUGACCCUGUGGUCCGAGCUCCUAGGUGUACAGAUUUGUGGUGAAAAUAUAAGUAUAAGCAGAACCCGGACUGCGGGGGGAUUAUUGCCACGGAGCUUUCCCGAGCCUCAGAUUUUUCUUGAUUGGUGAAUGGAGUUAGUUUUUUUUUUUUUAAACAACCUGAGUUAACUUUUGACAUGAAAGUGAAAAAUGUCCCCUGCAAGGGAAACACUUUGGAGUGAAGAGGCUCUUAAAUUGAAAAGAAUGACACGGCAAAGCCUCAAGGCAGACUAAUCUAAGUCACCACUUAAAUAUGUGGGAAAGCCACUCUAGUGUUCAAAGCAAUAAACAGGACUUGAGUUUCCCAACCCCCUGUGUGGGCCCAGGGACACACCCCCUGUGCGCAGCCAAGCCCCUUCGGUACUUUUUGGCCUCAGGAUCCAUUUACAUGUGAACAAAGUAAGGAGGAUCCCAAAGAGCUCGUUUCUAUGGGUUCCACCUAUCAAUAUUUACCAUGUUAGGAAGUGAAACUCAUGAAAAACAUUAAAUGUGUUUACUAAUUCAUCUAGAGAACAAUGCAUCCAUUUAUAUUAACAUGUUCAACGAAAGGUUAUUUUACUUCGCCAACCCCCCAAAAAAUAGUGAAAAGAGAAAACAUUUUUGAAAACCUCUUUAAUGUUCUUUACGAUUCAACCAGGGUAAAUGAGAGUCCUGGAGCCCUCGGUGGCUCUCAGGCUUUUACAUGUAGUGCAGGUGCACAGGAGGA